rnacentral:rRNA from 1 species
AUUGAACGCUGGCGGCAGGCCUAACACAUGCAAGUCGAGCGAGCGGCGGACGGGUGAGUAAUGUCUGGGAAACUGCCUGAUGGAGGGGGAUAACUACUGGAAACGGUAGCUAAUACCACAUACCAUCAGAUGUGCCCAGAGGGGAUGAGCUAGUAGGUGGGGUAACGGCUCACCAAGGUGACGAUCACUAGCUGGUCUUAGCGGAUGACCAGCCAUCCUGGAACUGAGACACGGUCCAGACUCCUACGGGAGGCAGCAGUGGGGAAGAUGGCACAAGGGGCGCAAGCCUGAUGCAGCCAUGCCGCGUGUGUGAAGAAGGCCUUCGGGUUGUAAAGCACUUUCAGCGGGGAGGCGUUACCCGCAGAAGAAGCACCGGCUAACUCCGUGCCAGCCGCCGCGGUAAUAC